GGGAUAGCUAGACUGGCGCGCUAGUCCUGCGUUGUUACCGUGAACGGACUUUACACGGAGUCGAAGCCACCUUGAGGGUUAGUUUGUUAGUUAUGGCCCAUUUUGUCUUGCUGACGGCUUGUCCUCUGGGAUGUAGUGUAUAUGGAAUCAGGUCAGAUUCGGAAGAAAGCAGCCUUAACAUAUGCAUUGUAUGUUCAGAGGGUCGCAAGUUUGAGAGGCUUUAUGGAUCAGUCCAUUUCUAGCUUGUUGAUUCGAGAGAUUGGUGUGCCCC
rnacentral:SRP_RNA from 1 species